CUUAGUUUAACAUAGGACCCUAUGGGAAAUGCAUACAAAUGACUUCUUUUAGAGAACCACUGAAUGGAAUGAAACCAAACAUGGCAUGAAUGUUCCUUAUGAGGUGCUGAUCAUGUGUUGUUACUUUGUAGCCGAUCCAUCAUCCAAGAUGGCCGCCAUCAGGGAACUUAGUUUAACAUAGGACCCUAUGGGAAAUACAUACAAAUGUCUUCUUUUAGAGAACCACUGAAUGGAAUGAAACCAAACAUGGCAUGAAUGUUCCUUAUGAGGUGCUGACCAAGUGUUGUUACUUUGCAGUCGGUCCAUCAUCCAAGAUGGCCGACAGCAGGGGACUUAGUUUAACAAAGGACCUAUGGGAAAUACAUACAAAUGUCUUCUUUUAGUGAACCACUGAAUGGAAUGAAACCAAACAUGGC